GGCAGCGCCUCUUUCUCCUUCCUUCUCACGUUAUUUUUUUCUGGAAAAACAAACUUUCUUCUUCUCUCAUACCGAUUUAACAACAACACAAAUCUCUCUCGGUUUCUCUCUUCCACGAUAAUCACCAUGAAUUUCCGUUCUCAACCUUAUCUCUCUCGCGAAGGACACAACAACAAUGGUCUCCCUCGGUGCUCACUUUACGGCAACAAACAGCGGCCCUUUCUCCAUCUCUUGCUCUCAAUCGAUAAAAACGACUCCUCACCGGAAGUUUUACGGCGGCCAUGGAUGAACAAGAGGUUCCUUAAAGAUAAUACAGGAACAAUAUAUUUGUAGCAACUGAUAAAAGCAAUAUUGAGAGCAAGGGGUGAAGUCAACUUACCUGCGGCAAGAGAUGUUUUCCGGAAUUUUGUUAAGCUUCACAAUAACUUGUUGCUGGAAGCGUCGGGUGCUGUGUUGAAGAUGAUGUGGGGCUGCCACUGAAGUCCGAAGGUAUGGCUUCGACCUCCCUUUCUUUUUUUCUGGAAAUUUCGAGUGGUGUUGUUGAACUCACACCCUUGAAUUGUUGUUGAACCGGUUAUGAACUUUUGAACUUGUUGCAAAUUGUUUGAAACAAC